rnacentral:lncRNA from 1 species
GAAGUUAUUCAUCGAUAUCAAUAUGAAAUACAAAAUUAUGCUGACAAAAUACUCUUCUUGUCAAUAUAAAAUUUAUUUCUUCUUGUUAAUAAAAUGCUCCUUAUUUUGGUACAUAAAUACAAAUUUGUACCUACUGACAUUGAGACUUUUGCAUUUGAAAUAUUUUGCUACCAUACCUGCAAGAAAAAAUAUAUCAAUACUAAAAUAUUGUUUACUCUAAAUUUUAAAAUAAGAUCAAUAUGAACUUUUACUAUCACGAUAAUCUUUUAGUGUUAAAAUGAGGUGGUGGGCCAAAAACGCACCAAAAGAUUUCAUUCACAGCUACAGUGAUAAAGAAUAGACUUAAAUUAUAUCACUGCAAUCUUUUAGUGAUAAAGAAUAGACAAUAAUGAACAAAAUCUUAUCAAGGACUUAACAUUUUAGUGGUAAAAUUAUAUCUUACUUUGUUGCAGUCUUCCAACUAAUCGUUACAUAAUUCAGUCAAGAUAUAUUGAACAUAGUUGCUGGAAAUAAUUUUUAGCAGACAAUAAAAUAAAUGGAUUACUUAGUUUUAGUAUGCAUAACUGGUCUACUUUGGGGGAGAAAAUUCACUGUAAGUUUAUUUUCUAAUUUUGUGUUCUAAGAGGGAUUUAUUUUUGUUGACAGAGGAAUCCUGAAACAACAAAAACUAUUGUACCAGUAGAUAGAGGUGGAGUUAAUUUUGUUAUGGGGACUACGAUAGUGCCAACUACUCCUGUUUCUUACCAAUAUCAUAAAGCAAAUGAUGAGAAAAAUUUCACAAUGAUACAUAAUGUGUAUAAUAUCGACAAGAACUUUGCUUUUAAGAUUGGCAUGAAAUUUGAUUCCGUAGAAGAAUCAUACAAUGCAUACAAUUCCUACGCCAUGGGGUUCGAUGUUCGAAAAGGACCAAAAACUUUUAAUAGAAAGAAAGAAAUGACUAGAUGUUUAUUUCUUUGUUCUUGUGAAAGAAAAUAUGAUAAGCUUUCCCCUUUUCAUGAAAGAAAGCAACAAAGGUUGGAAUAUAGAUAUGUUUGUUUGGCUCAUAUAAAAUUCAAAAUUUCAAAUGGGACAUGGAAAGUAUGUGAAUUUAAUGAUGUGUAUAGCUAUCUCAUGAUAGAAAAGAACUUGAGACAUUUCAUACAAUCUAGUCGAAAUCUUACAAGUGCUACAAAAAAUAUUUUUGGUUUAUGGUUGAUGCUGGUAUUCGUGCAAAAAGAGUUGUUCGAUACCUUCGGAAUGAAGUAGGUGGAAUUGAAAAUGGAGGAUGUACUGAACAAGAUG